UCGAGUGUUACAACUCCCAAACCCCUGUGAACUUACCACUGUUGCUUCGGCGGAACCGCCCCGGGCUUGACCUGGAUCAAGGCGUCCGCCGGAGACCUUUAACUCUUAUUUUAUCAUACGAUUUUAUCUGAGUAACAAACAAAUAAAUUA
rnacentral:misc_RNA from 1 species